rnacentral:rRNA from 1 species
UACGGAGGAUGCGAGCGUUAUCCGGAUUUAUUGGGUUUAAAGGGUGCGUAGGCGGAUUUCUAAGUCAGCGGUCAAAUGUCGGGGCUCAACCCCGGCCUGCCGUUGAAACUGGAGGUCUUGAGUGGGCGAGAAGUAUGCGGAAUGCGUGGUGUAGCGGUGAAAUGCAUAGAUAUCACGCAGAACUCCGAUUGCGAAGGCAGCAUACCGGCGCCCGACUGACGCUGAGGCACGAAAGCGUGGGUAUCGAACAG